rnacentral:rRNA from 1 species
AAGGUCGACCUCAGAUUCAGGUAGGAAACCCGUA